GCUGGGAUGGCCGAGUCGUUAAGGCGAGUGAUUUGAACGAACGUUUACGUAAUCAAUGAUUACGUAAUUUCCGAAUUAUCACUUGGUGUUUCACCGCGUAGGUUCAAAUCCUGCUCCCAGCG